UACGUAGGGUGCAAGCGUUAAUCGGAAUUACUGGGCGUAAAGCGUGCGCAGGCGGUUGUGCAAGACCGAUGUGAAAUCCCCGGGCUUAACCUGGGAACUGCAUUGGUGACUGGCAGGCUUUGAGUGUGGCAGAGGGGGGUAGAAUUCCACGUGUAGCAGUGAAAUGCGUAGAGAUGUGGAGGAAUACCGAUGGCGAAGGCAGCCCCCUGGGCCAACACUGACGCUCAUGCACGAAAGCGUGGGGAGCAAACAGG
rnacentral:rRNA from 1 species